rnacentral:rRNA from 1 species
UACGUAGGGUGCGAGCGUUGUCCGGAAUUAUUGGGCGUAAAGGGCUCGUAGGCGGUUUUGGUAAGUCGGGUGUGAAAUCUCCACGCUCAACGUGGAGGGGCCACUCGAUACUGCCAUGACUCGAGUCCGGUAGAGGAGUGUGGAAUUUUCCGGUGUAGCGGUGAAAUGCGUAGAUAUCGGAAGGAACAUCAGUGGCGAAAGCGGCUUCCUGGACCAGAACUGACGAUCAGGCUCGAAAGCGUGGGGAAGCAAACAGG